rnacentral:lncRNA from 1 species
AAAAGAAUCAUUUCUUUUGAUGCUCGAAAAUUAUUUUGUGGGUUUUUAAGUCUUUUUUUUCUUGUAUUUUUUAGUUAAAAUGGACCCACUAACCGUAGAAAUAGACGAAGGACAACCGUAUCUAAAGUGCAAAAGUCAGUGCCUGGAUUAUUAACCUUAAGCUUGGAGAGCUAUCUGCGAUCAUUGUAAAUGCCACGAAAUUCGUCUAGAUGGCGCGUUUAACGCCCGAGUUUGUAUAGGACUUGAGGAUCGACUCGAACAAAACGGAGUACAAGAUAAAUGAACUGCCGUAGAGGAAGAAUAAUCGUUGGUACCACAAGCUUAGCUCCAAAAUCUAAUAGUACUUCGUGCGGAUUCCUUCCGGAAAAGUGCCUAAAUCUGGAACUCCCGGUGAAAAAUAUUGUUUAAACACAACUAAUUACACAACUUCCCGAUCAAGACUUUUCUAUGAAAUUCUGUUACGUUGCCCGCGCUAACUUCGUAGGCAACGAAGGCUUCGUUCAAAAGUUAACGACAUUGCAACACCUGUUACCAACAGAAGUUUACUUUAACUUGCUUCGAGUGUCAUCAAAUUGUCACCACCGACGGUGUUAUUUAUGGCAACAAACUUUGGCAUAGUCAAUGUUUCUGUUGCAGCACGAGUCAGGUGUGUUUGGAGGGACGGCGAUUCGCACCCAAAGACGAUAAACUGAUUGUGUCCAAUGCUUCGGAAAUUUGUUUGCAAACAGAUGCAGCGGCUGCAACAGACCAGUUAUCGGCAUUAAUGGAACGCGCUAUACAUCUUUCGAAGGCCGAAAUUGGCAUAACGAUUGCUUCUUGUAUGCCAUGUGCAAAGCAUCGCUAGUGAAAAAAACCUUUUCACAGACGGAACGGAUAUUUUGUAUCCGGGAUCCAAAAAAACCGAAAAUAACGAUUUGAUACGUUAUACAUUAAAUUCGCAUAACAAAAUCGAAAUGAAUUAUUUCGAUAGAACUAAAAUAAUAAUAAUAAAAUUUAAA